GCAAUGCUAUAGUGGCGUACGGGUGCGUAACGCGUAAGGAAUCUGCCCGCUGCUGGGGGAUAGCCCGCCGAAAGGUGGACUAAUCCCGCAUGGUUCUCUCAGGUGGCAUCACCUGAGAGAUAAAGAUUUAUUGGCAGCGGAUGGACUUGCGUCUGAUUAGCUAGUUGGCGGGGUAAGGGCCCACCAAGGCGAUGAUCAGUAGGGGCUCUGAGAGGAGCGGCCCCCACACUGGCACUGAGAUACGGGCCAGACUCCUACGGGAGGCAGCAGUAGGGAAUAUUGGGCAAUGGGCGCAAGCCUGACCCAGCCAUGCCGCGUGCAGGAAGAAGGCGUUAUGCGUUGUAAACUGCUUUUGAGGGGGAAGAACGGCCUUUCUGCGGAGGGGUGUGACGGUACCUUUCGAAUAAGCACCGGCUAACUCCGUGCCAGCAGCCGCGGUAAUACGGAGGGUGCAAGCGUUGUCCGGAUUUAUUGGGUUUAAAGGGUGCGCAGGUGGCCUUGUAAGUCUGACCUGAAAGUGGGCCGCUCAACGGCACAGGGUGGUUGGAUACUGCAGGGCUUGAAGGGGUCGGAGGUUGCCGGAACGGAUGGUGUAGCGGUGAAAUGCAUAGAGAUCAUCCAGAACGCCAAUUGC
rnacentral:rRNA from 1 species